GGCGGCCCCAACGGCCGUCCGGGGCGCGGAGCGGGAUGAGCGCGGGCGCCGACGGUAGCGGCGGCGGCGGCGGCGCUGGGACCGAGGCGCGGGUCGGAGGGGGCAGUCCUGGAGCGGAUGGCUUCGUCCCGUCGGCGCUGGGGACCCGAGAGCAUUGGGAUGCUGUCUAUGAGAGAGAACUGAAAACUUUCCAAGAAUAUGGAGAUACAGGAGAAAUAUGGUUUGGAGAAGAGAGUAUGAACCGACUAAUAAGGUGGAUGCAAAAACACAAGAUUCCAUUGGAUGCUUCUGUGCUUGAUAUUGGAACUGGAAAUGGUGUUUUCCUGGUUGAACUUGUUGGCAAAAUUUGGUUUCUCUAAUGUUACUGGAAUUGAUUACUCUCCUUCUGCAAUACAGCUUUCUGGAAGUAUUAUAGAGAAAGAAGGUUUAUCUAACAUUAAGUUGAAGGUAGAAGACUUUUUGAAUCUUUCCACAAAACUGUCUGGAUUUCAUAUUUGUAUUGACAAAGGGACUUUUGAUGCCAUAAGCCUUAAUCCUGACAAUGCAAUUGAGAAGAGGAAGCAAUAUGUGAAAUCUCUCUCCAGGGUAUUGAAAGUGAAAGGCUUUUUUCUAAUAACCUCAUGUAAUUGGACCAAGGAAGAGUUGCUAAAUGAAUUCAGUGAAGGAUUUGAACUUUUCGAAGAGCUGCCAACACCCAAGUUCAGCUUUGGAGGCAGAUCUGGAAACAGUGUAGCAGCAUUGGUUUUCCAAAAAACGUGAGACUUGUCAUUGGACAAAUUCAGUUAGCUUUUUUAAGAAGCUCUACAUCAAAGUAAACCUGACACAGAAAAUGCAAGUGCAAAUAAAUGCUUAGCAAGUACACAGGAUGCACAUGUUGAAUAGAUGUAAUAGGUUGGUAAAAAAAAUCAUGAGUAUGUAGUGGUUGGGUUUUAGAGAUCAACCAAGAAUAAUUUUAAAAUUUCUUUUGUAUUAAAAUGUAAAUAUUUUUCUUUUUGACUAAAAAAAUUUCCUGUAACUGAUGAACAGUUUAAAAUUUUAAAGCAGUAAAUGAAUUUACAGAAAGCGUGUAUUCUUGAUUUUUGUGCCUUGGUAAAGUUGAAUUGAAUAUAGCUUUUUAUUAAGAUUUGUCCAAACUAUUCCAGGGCCAGAAUAAUAAGCAAAACAACUUGCUUAGUGUUUUAUUAGACUAUUUAUGAAACAUAAUAAGUAUAAUAUUUUGGGUUGAAUGGUGGUUUUUAAAAAAAUUAAUACCUGAGAAAGUCCUAUAGCCUUCAUGUAUAUAAUUAAACAAAGUAAGAUAAAU